AGAGUUUGAUCCUGGCUCAGGACGAACGCUGGCGGCGUGCUUAACACAUGCAAGUCGAACGGUGAAGUCCCUUCGGGGGCGGAUCAGUGGCGAACGGGUGAGUAACACGUGGGCAAUCUGCCCCUCACUGUGGGAUAACUCCGGGAAACCGGGGCUAAUACCGCAUAUGAAGCCUGGCGGCAUCGCCGGGUUUGGAAAGUUUUUCGGUGAGGGAUGAGCCCGCGGCCUAUCAGCUUGUUGGUGAGGUAAUGGCUCACCAAGGCGACGACGGGUAGCCGGCCUGAGAGGGCGACCGGCCACACUGGGACUGAGACACGGCCCAGACUCCUACGGGAGGCAGCAGUGGGGAAUAUCCGCAAUGGGCGAAAGCCUGACCCAGCGACGCCGCGCGCGUCCAAAGGCCUUCGGGUUGUAAACCGC
rnacentral:rRNA from 1 species